GACGGACGCUGGCGGCGUGCCUAAUACAUGCAAGUCGAACGAGAGCGACCGGUGCUUGCACUGGUCAAUCUAGUGGCGAACGGGUGAGUAACACGUGGGUAACCUGCCCAUCAGAGGGGGAUAACAUCCGGAAACGGAUGCUAAAACCGCAUAGGUCUUCGAGCCGCAUGGCUUGAAGAGGAAAAGAGGCGCAAGCUUCUGCUGAUGGAUGGACCCGCGGUGCAUUAGCUAGUUGGUGAGGUAACGGCUCACCAAGGCCGUGAUGCAUAGCCGACCUGAGAGGGUGAUCGGCCACAUUGGGACUGAGACACGGCCCAAACUCCUACGGGAGGCAGCAGUAGGGAAUCUUCCGCAAUGGACGCAAGUCUGACGGAGCAACGCCGCGUGAGUGAAGAAGGUUUUCGGAUCGUAAAACUCUGUUGUUAGAGAAGAACAAGUGCUAGAGUAACUGUUAGCGCCUUGACGGUAUCUAACCAGAAAGCCACGGCUAACUACGUGCCAGCAGCCGCGGUAAUACGUAGGUGGCAAGCGUUGUCCGGAUUUAUUGGGCGUAAAGCGAGCGCAGGCGGUUCCUUAAGUCUGAUGUGAAAGCCCCCGGCUCAACCGGGGAGGGUCAUUGGAAACUGGGGAACUUGAGUGCAGAAGAGGAGAGUGGAAUUCCAUGUGUAGCGGUGAAAUGCGUAGAUAUAUGGAGGAACACCAGUGGCGAAGGCGACUCUCUGGUCUGUAACUGACGCUGAGGCUCGAAAGCGUGGGUAGCAAACAGG
rnacentral:rRNA from 1 species